rnacentral:rRNA from 1 species
AUUGAACGCUGGCGGAAUGCUUUACACAUGCAAGUCGAACGGCAGCACGGGUGCUUGCACCUGGUGGCGAGUGGCGAACGGGUGAGUAAUGCACCGGAACGUAUCCAAUAAUGGGGGAUAACGCACCGAAAGGUGUGCUAAUACCGCAUACGCCCUGAGGGGGAAAGCGGGGGAUCGUAAGACCUCGCGUUAAUGGAGCGGCCGAUGCCGGAUUAGCUAGUUGGUGAGGUAAAGGCUCACCAAGGCGACGAUCCGUAGCUGGUCUGAGAGGACGACCAGCCACACUGGAACUGAGACACGGUCCAGACUCCUACGGGAGGCAGCAGUGGGGAAUUUUGGACAAUGGGCGCAAGCCUGAUCCAGCCAUUCCGCGUGAGUGAAGAAGGCCUCGGUUGUAAG